GAGAAGGCAAGUGAGGAUGGAUCAGAUCCCCGUGGCUACCUGGAGCUUGCAGUUAAUAUCACCAAAGAUAUCGAAAGUCACCUUCUCAAUGCAUAACGCCAAGACCAUAUGUACCGUUUGCUAGUAUUUCUCUCUUAAAUAAAGUUUGGAACUUGGAUGUGCAUCUAUGUACUAUCUCGACCUUUUAAUAAACGCAAAUUCCAGCUGUACUGGAGUUGGUGACUAAUGCCGAGAAGACAAACUAGGUUCCCGAUCCUCAGUUAUUUAUGCAAUAAUAUUAAUUAGUGCAUGCGUGUGAUUAGUUGUAUGGUUCUGGGAGUUGCUUUGUGAUUGUUAAUCGGUGUCUUUUGUAGUGGGAUUAUUACAUGCAUGUAAUGUGAAGAACAUAUGAUCCAUGAGGAAAUAAAUUAAAUGAAAAUUACCCAGGCUCCAUCAUGAGGAGCCUUUGAGCAUGCCCACAAGCCUACGUUCCUGCAUUCAAGUCACAUAUGUGAAAAUUCCACUUUGCACAUAAUCUAAAUAAUUUAUCUAAAAAUCUAAGAAGUAAUCUCUCUCUCCAUCUAUGUCUCUCUCUCCCCAUCUAUAUGUACCUCAAAUGAAGAGGUAAGGUAAUGUAAAAUCCCCACCUCAAAUUUAGGGAUAUUUAUAUAAUUUGAAAAUUUUAAAAAGACCUACAUUAAUUUUGUAAAUAUUUAUGUAAUCAACUUUCUCAGAUUAAUUAAAUAAAAAAUUGACCAAGAUGAUUAAAAAUGCAAAUUUGAUGAGGACAUGAAGUAAAAAGUGGUAGGGUUUAAGGACAAUGGCUUCUACUGAAUUUUGGUGAGGUGGUGAUACAAUGAGGAAAAUAGAUUAAUAAAGUUUAUCCAUGGAAAUAGAAAAUAGAAAACAAAAAAUAUAAAAUAAUAAUAAUAUUCAUGUUAAUCAUUUAAUAAAUAUAAUAAAUGCAAUUAUAUAUGCUAAGUGAAAAUAACAAUAUUAUUAUUAUUAUUAUUAAUGCUUAUGAUAGGUGAGAAUUAAGUCUUUUAGAAAUUUGAGUAAUUUUUUCAAGGUAAAGCUUAUAGUUCAUUAAGUCAUUUUAUAAUUCCUUAUAUAUUUUUUUAUUGAUUUUUAAAGUAUCAAAAUGUGUAAAUUCUUUAAAGUGGAUCAAAUAGUUUUUUUUUUUUUUGAAAUAUUUUGUGAUUUGUUUGGUUGUUAUGAAAGUGAAUUUUAUUACUUAAUUUAUUAUAAUGAUUUUAAAACUCUAGUUAUUAGUGGUUUUAGUCAACAAGGAUAAGUUAUUAACCUUCUUUACCUUUGGUCAGUGAAGGGAUGUAGUAUAACACUAGCCAAUAAAUGUGUCAUUGGUCUUGUAUACUAUUGAUUAGAAAUUGUUAUGUCCACCAAUGAGAGUAUUAAAGUGAGGUGAGCCACCUAAUGUAAGUCCCAAUAUUUGGGCACAACGUUAUUAUUAAUUAAUAAACAAAAAUAAAUAGUUUAUUUAUAAAAAUUUUUUUCUAAAUAUAAAUUGAGUAUGCAAAUUGUAUUUUUUAAUUCUAUCUUUAAAUUUAAAGUGUUUAAUCUUUUGAAGAAAGUGAAUUUAAUUUUUUGAAGAAAGUGAAUUUAAUUUUUGAAUUAAAUAAAUUAACCUGAUAAUUGAUUUUUAUAAAAAUUUGAUAUCUCUUAGAAUUUAAUUCUCUACAAUAUAUACCUGAUUUUUUUCAUUGAACUAUUUUUUCUUAUUGAACCAUUGAAGUCACCCUUCUUUAUUAUUCCCCUUUUCAUAUACAAAUGGUAUAAGUGAGAAGGGAUUACGGGAGGAGAAAUGUUUCUAUUAUAAACAACUUUGGAAUUGAAUUAUGUUGGAUUGUGAAACGUGAAUCGGUUUAAUUUAUUGUAUUUUGCAAGGAAUGCUAGAGGUCGAGUGUCUAAUUGAGCUUGCGGGGAUCAAGAGUCUUGAUCGGUUCGUUGGGACUUGGGAUUGAGUUGUCCAAUCAGCUCAUGGGGUUAAAGGAAUAUCCUUCGAUUUUUUUUAAUACGAUGAAUAACGAGUUUGUCCUAAUUGUAUAUUUAAUCUUAUUAUAAUUUAAAGUUUCUUUUUAGAGAGUGUGUGACUGCAAUCGAAAGGAUAAUGAGUGUUUAGUACUCGUCUUAUUUUUUUCUGAACCAAAUUAAAAAUCUAUUGUUUUUCUUUAUUUUCUAAUCGUGUGUGCAUGAUUUGAUCAACAAAUUAUUUAUAGGAUUGUUUACUUAAAUUUGAUUGUAAUUUAUUUAAGUUUUUAGGAGAAUCAUUAAAUUUAUUAUUACAAUAUUUUAUUAGUUUUGAAUUUGUUAUUUAAAGUGAUUCAUUUACUUGGUUCAAAGGUUUGACAUAUAAAGUCACCGUGGUUCCCUUGGUGUCGCGGGUGAUUUUGUAAGUGCCUUCGGACUACAGAAUAUUAAUUAACCUACCAAUCUUCAAUGUAAUCUAAGAUGCAGAAAGAUCUUGUGGGUUAAGGUCAAGUGGGCGCUUCAAUAUUUAUCAUGUCUUCAAAAAAAACUUCAGGGCCCCAGUCCAGAUUCUCAGAUAUGGAUUCUAACAGUUGCUACCAAUCACGGGGGUGAAAACAAAUCAGUGUCGCAGAAAUCGCUAUCAAUGUGGUACUGGAAAAAAAAGAAGAGAUUCCUCCACUUGUUCUUGAAAUUUAUCUGAACGCAUGCAAUAAAUCAAUGCUCCAUAAUCUCCUGCACAUGCAAAUUAAAAUCAAAAUCAGGCCAUUGGCCUCUCACAUUACCAUUCUUGGCCGUUUUCUGGUGUGCAUAUAAAGAGUAAUAACCACACCAUCCAUCUUUUACUCUGGUUGUCACACUCCCACCACUCUCCCACCACUUCUUCCCUAAUCUCCUAACAUCAAAUACAAAAAUGCCACAUCCUUAUUAUUGAAAAUUAAAUUCCCAUACAUAUAAAUCUUAUGCCAGAUUUUUUGUUGAUUGGAUGAUAUUCGGCCAUAUAAAAUUCAGUAUCAAUCACAAACAUUCGUUAUCCAAUCUUGAUACCGAAGAGGAUAGAGUAUCAAUCCAUCUAUGGGCCCGGUGCACCAGGCCUUCCGCCUAUAAAAGUUUUCUAGGGUGGUGAACUAUAUUCUUCAAACACAGCCUUGGCUAGUUACUAUCUGGUUUCCAAAGAAAGAAGAAAUGGCUCAGAUAGAUAAGAUGGAAACCCAUGUAGAGAAAAAGUCCCCUGCCAAUGAGUUCUACGAGGUCUUCAGCAGCAAAGCUCAUCUCAUUCCCAAGGCCUGCCCUGACAAAAUCAAGAGCAUCGAAGUGGUUGAAGGUGAUUGGAAGAGUGUGGGCUCUGUCAAGCUCUGGACUUACUGUAUCGGUAAGGCAACGCUAACCAUUAUUCCCAUGCCACCCUCAAUCAAACAAAAUAAUACACUCAGCACAUGGACCUUCUUGUUUUUAAUUAUUAUUGCUGUGGAAGAUAAUAAUAACAAAACAAAGGGAAUGACCCCUUCUGAUACGGGUGCCUCCUCAUAUUAGUUUUUUGAAGUUCUCCAUGCAAACUAAAGUAGAAAUCAAUCUUUAGGCACAUCCCUUAUCUGAGCUUCACAUGACCUUAGUUUCAUUUUAAAUUAACCUGCAGGAGGAAAUACUUCGUCUAGCAAGGAGAGGGUGGAAAAGAAAGACGAUAAGAACAAGUCCAUCACUUUCAAGGCUCUGGAUGGAGAGGUCAUGAAGGAUUUCAAGAGCGUCAUCUCCAUCCUUGAAGUGAGUGCAAAGGAUGACGGCAGCCUGGUGAAAUGGACUUUGGAAUAUGAGAAGUCAAAUGAGAAACUCCUACCUCCAGAUGCUUACCUCAGCCUUGUAAUUAGUAUGAGUAAAGAAAUCGACGCUUACCUUCUCAAGGCAUAAGCCGCAUAACAAGCCCUAUAUCCUUGACUUGAUAUGAAAGCAUCCUAGCCUGGGUCCUCCUGGGAAUAACGGAGUUGCUAUGCGUACCUCCAUAUUAUAUUAUCGACACCUACUGGCUACUGCUGUACUCCAUGUAACUUCUUGCUGUACUUAAUUAUAUGAGCUUCCUGAAUUAAUGUUGGAAUGAUAAAUCAAGCUUUAUGGUAGAAUCAAAUGAUUGCUCUAUCAUGGAAUAAAUUUCGCAAUAAAAAUAAAUAUUAGAGGAGAGUUAUGAAACGAAGCUUUUUUUUCUGCAUCAAAUUAACUUUUCAUACACUGUUUUUAAAACAAAUCAACAUACAAUGAUCUUAUGUUGUACCUUUUCCGUUGCAGAUUGCUUUUAAAAAUGUUCUCCCCACAGGCACUUCUAUGGUAUCUUUUCAAAAUUGCUAUUAUAUAUGUUUAAUUAACCAUUCAUUUUGGUCUAAAGCUAGGACGAACUUCUAAGACUGCCACGGAGACUCUGGAAAUCAACAGAUGAAGAAAAAAAUAAAAUAUAUCCAUGACUUCCAAGGUUUUGGAAGCAGAGGUCAUGAAUCAUUUCAAGAAGAUUCAAGUCAUCCAUGCAAGUAACAGCAAAGGAUAAGCGCAGCUAGGUGAAAUGGAGACUGGAUAUUGAGGGUCACUAUCUCAGAUUCUCAAGGCAUAGCAUUAAAAACAUAUCCUUUAAUUGGUAGUAUAAUCUCAAACUUGUAUGUAAAGACCAGACCGUGGAAGUGCAUAUAUGCAUUUUAUUCUUCAAUAAGCGCAGGCUUAGGGGGUAGUUCAAUAACCUCUGGGCUUAGUCAAUCCCGAGAAGAUAUUAAUAAAUUUCCCUGGAUUAUUCCUCUCAUGAAUAUCAGUGCCUGUAAUUUGGUUGUGUGCUAACGGGAGUUGCCUCUUGCGAUCGGUUGGGUUCUUUAAUAAACGCAUUAUUAGGUAUGAAUGAUCAGGAAAUUGAUAAGUAAAAAACAAUUUAAUUAUUUCACUUAAGUCAUAAACCAUUAUGAGGAGCCUUGGAAUAUAUGCAUGAGUCUAGAUUCUCGCAGCCACUAAUCACGUAGUCAAAAUUGGCCAGUCGCAAACAUUCCAAUCAUUCUUUAUGAUAAGAAAGAAGAGUUCACUCUUCUUUUUCUCGAGUUUUUUAUUUGGAGAGAGCAAUUUAUCAGCCUCACAUUUUGAGACCUUUCUUGGCACAUCACUUUCAGAAUCUGAUUUCCUAGCUCCACUAUAGAAGUAAAGCCAGUUGGGUAUCACAUUCUUGUUUUAUGUCUCCUUGAGUGGGUCGGGUGUAUAUAAAAAUUUGCCAGUUGAAGAUUUUCUUUGUUAUGCUAGUCUUUCUUUUUCUAACCUCCUGAUAUCAAAUGGGAAAAUGCCAUAUCGUUACUGGACAAUUGACCCAUAAUGGAGAGACUUUUGUUGGUUGGACUUGGGCUUUUAUAUAACUCAGCAACUAUCAUAAUUAUAGGAGAAAUUUGAAGUAACCAUAUUGAUUUGGGUCUACCAAGAAGCAAGGUGAAUCGUAACAUAUCAUGCAUAUAACUUGAUUCAAUUAUUUUAUAUUCUACUUGUUUCUUAUGUAUUUUUACUUUUAUCAAAUAGUUUAGAUAUCAUUACCAAAUAUUCUCCUGACAUUUUCCUAUUAUUUCUGUAAGAUGCUAUAAUCUACACCCAAAGUAGUGGACCACUUACACUUUAUUAUGUACUAACCACGAUCAUAACUUACAUUCUCCACCUUGGCCUCUCUCUUAUCCCAAAAAGUAAAGACUCAGGGUUCGUAUCCCUUCCCUUCUGUCUAUAUAGGUCUAAGAGUAGUCAAGUGUUUCCUUCAAUAGCCUUCAUAUUCUUGGCAGUAACUAGGUACUUGGUUUUCAAACACAACAAAAAUAAUGGCUCAAAUUGCCAAGAUGGAGGUCCAAGCAGAGAUCAAGUCCCCUGCCAGUAAGUUCCACGAGGUCUGUAGCCGUAAAGUUUAUCUCGUACCCAAGGCUUGCCCUGAAAAAAUUAAGAGCAUUGAAGUAGUUGAAGGUGACUGGAAGACUGUGGGCUCUGUCCAGCUUUGGACUUAUUUCAUCGGUAAGGCAAAAUCCAUCAUUCCACGCCUCCCCCAACAAACACAAGGACACAGAGCUCAAUUGUACUUCUAUUAUUAUUACUAUUAUUAGGAAAUAAUGAUAAUCUAAUGGUAAUGUGACUCUACUCAUGCCGAUAUAAACCCCGUAAUCUUGAUCUCAAAUUGCUAUCAAACAAAAGAAUAUCAAAUAAAGGUAAAGUGUGUCCCCUAUAUUUAUACGUAGAUAGAUGAGUUCUAAGCUUAGCACCAUGUUUUCCAUUUGAAAAACAGGAGGAAAUACCGAAGAGGCUAAGUUGGUGGUUGAAAGGGUAGACGAGGAAAACAAAACGGUCACUAUGAACGUUGUGGAAGGAGAUAUCGUGAAGUAUUUCAAGAUCUUCAAGUGCACUAUUCAAGUAACCGUAAAGGAUAAGGGCAGCUUGGUGACAUGGAGUGUGGAAUAUGAGAAGCUAAAUGAGAGUGGCCCCGCUCCAGAUGCUUACCUCAACUUUGCAAUGGGUAUCGUUGAGAACGUGGAUGCUUACCUUCUCAAGGCAUGACAACAAAGGCGUAUUCAUGAGUCAUGACAUGGUAUGAAGCACUGGUACAACAAAAACUUGGGAAUAAUGUACCACACGCCAUGUCCUCAACUUCUACUGGUCAUCGCUAUAAUAUUAAAAGUAACUUCUUAUUCUACUUAUAUACCUUCCAAGUACUUUGUGUCUUGAAUGUUAUUAUCUAAAAAUAAAAAUAGAAAAUCUCGAAGAAGAGCAUUGUCCUUCGACACUUUUCUUUCUUUCUUUCUUUCUUCACUGCUGAGAAUCUCAACGUACGACUACCAUUUGCAUUAUGGACCCAUGACUGCCAUCCUUUGACCACAUUUGUUGCCCUCCCACCAAACUCCUACGCGUCAAAAUUUCUAUUGUUGCUUGAACAAUAUUUUCAUUUGAAAAACAAGGAAACGAUUUAAAAAUUCUUAUCUCAUGUCUAGUUACCCCGGUCGACCAUAUAAAGUACCACUUGAUCACUCUAGUCUCCUUUGCUAGCCCAUGGGCAAUGCAAUACCCAGCAGGUCCCAGUAACCAACUCUAUGUUCCUCCGAAAAUGAAACAAAUCAGGUCGUUUCAGGGAUGCAUUUGAUCUCACCCUUUUGUUUUGUGUCCGUUAUUUUUUAUUUUAAUAUCACAUGUUUAUAUUUUAAUCUCAUUCUUUACACCUGGAUUUGCUGAUAAAGGCAACUUUCUUUUUGAGCUUUGAUCGAGAUUUUUAUGAAAUUCCUGUGAUAUUACCGUCCUGCUCCUGCUUAAGAAUGUAACUUUGAUUUUGCUUUUAGUGAAGUCUUUAGGUGUUGUUUAUUCCCCAAAAUCUUUUGAUGUUUCUGAAAUUGCUUCAGUGGACUUUGAGAGGUUGCAGGUACCUCUUUUCUCCUGAAAUAGAAUUUGUUUCAGUGGAGCAAGACAACAGGAUGAGCAAAAAAUAGAACCAAUUUUAUUGAUAUAUAUCAGGUUUUUGAGACGUUGAAGAACAUUUCUAACAACUUUUUUUGAUGGGUGACCAAGCCUAUUAUGCCACAAUGCAUAUACAGAACAAGAAGAAAAAGAAGCAGGUGUUGGAACUACAGAAGAAUUGUAUACUAAGGGUUGUGUUGACAUACUGACAUAUGACUUAUGAGGAGUUGAGGGAGAGAAGCUGCCACUGAUUAUUAAUGAGAUCAAUUUGAGACUGAUAAAAAACAUAAAGACCAUCUUUAGGCCUACCCCUCCAGUAGCACUGUUUUGAAGUGAAAUUCAAAGAAGACAUUCUUUUGGGCAAAUUUUGACACACUGAGAAGGUUCUAAUUAGCAAUUUCAGGGACAUGAAGUGUUUUAAAGAGUAAUUUCAGCAAACAUAACUUCAACUUUACAUCCACCUGACCUCAUUAUUUCAGUUUGACAAGAGGGCUUAAUUAUAUCAGUAUGACUGCUAAGAAGACUUUGGAAUAUUAUAAAACGAGUCCAUCAAGUUCAAGGUUUGGAAUGGAAAGAUCAUGAGUAAUUUCACUACUUUUAAGCUGAAUAUGAGAAGGUAAAUGAGGAUGUCCCAGACCCAAUGCUUACUAAAUCAUUGAAGGUCACCUUCUUGAGGCAUAAUUCCAAUUCUUUUCAUCGAUGCUUCUUAGAUGUUAUAAAACAAUACUAUGAAAAUGAAAACGUAAUGUAAUUUUGUCAAAGCCUUUUCCUUAUUGAAGACUCUGGACUGAUUGCGUGGGUGCGCAACACCCACCAUAAUUCCCACACCAACGCCCAACUAACCAAAUCACGUAAGGCCUCACAUGGCCUCAUUAUUAUUUCUGUUGAAAGAUAAUACUAUAUUACAUACGAGAUGGCCAUUCUACCAGCCACCUGUAAAGUUGGUGAUAAAUUGAUACUAAAAAUAGAAGGAAAAUUAAGUUGAAAUUAAGGGUGUCUAUUUAAAUUUAAUUAUUCCCUAGAUAUGAUCUUUUGAUAUGAUUUGAACCCGUUAAUCAUUUAUUUUUAUAUAAAGAGACAAAAAUUCAAUUGUAUAAUCCAGGAUGAGUCACUUGGCCGGGUUUUCGACGACAGCUAAAUCAACCUUCAUUUAGUAAUGAUUGCCCAUGAAAUAAAUUAUCAUGUCUCCUCACAAUAUAAUAAACUAAUAAAAAAUAAAAGAAGAUCACAAAGAAAAGCAUCUUAGUGGAAGUUUUUUUUUUUUUUUUUUUCUUUCAUUUGUUGGUGGUGACACUCCGUGAAAUGUGAUCAACUAGCAUUUGAAUUACACAACCUAAUGCAAAUGAUAAAAAGCAUAAAUUACUUUAGAGUGUUUAGAAUUUGGAAGACUCUAGCUAGGAUGAUAUGGCAUGGGUCUGUGGCCGACAACCACCAAACCCAACGCUAAAUAAUUAUUAUUGAACCAUCAUCAUCAGUAUAAGCAACAUCAAACCUCUCCAUGUUAAACUGUACAUUUUAUUUCAUCCGGAUCUAAUAUCUAAUUAUAAAUGAUUAUGUAUGAGAUUGCAAUCCUUUGCUUAACUCUUUGAAAAUCUAAUUAUAAAUAUUUGGAAUAUCGAUUUCAUCUCUACCAUUAAAAGCAUAUGAAAAAAAUAUCUUGGUCUUUGAAUAAAAGUAAGUAUAAAUAAUUAGACUAGGGUACCAAAUGAUGAAAUCAAAUAUAAAUGAAUUAUAACCAUCAAAUUUCUAUUUUUCAUUAUUAAAUCAUUGGGCGCUCCAAUUUUUACAUGAUGUAUAACUAUUGACGGAAAUGUUAAUUAGGGAUGGCAACGGGGCUGGUUUUUUCGGGUACCCGCCCCCCCCUCCCCCCCCCCCGCCCCUAAUGGGACGGGGUUGAAAUUUAAUAAACGGGUUUUUAACGGGUAUGAGAUUUUUUUUUAAAACCAGGGGCGGGUUCGGGACGGGUUCGGGACGAGUUCGGGUAUUGCCCCAUUCCGCCCCGCCCCGCCCUGUUUACAUAUAAAAUCAAUUUUAAAAUUAAUUUUAUUUUACUAUUUUUAAUAUAUAGAUAAUAAUAAAAAAAUUAAUAAAAUAAGUUAUAAAAAAUAUAAUAAUUUUAUUAUUUAUAAAUAUAUUUAUUUUAAUGUAAUUAAAAAUUUUAAAAGUAAAUUUUUUUUUUUAUAAAAAAAAGGAGGCUAAACGGGGCGGGACGGGGAUGAGAAUUAUUUUUAAUAAACGGGGCGGGGUUGGGAUGGGGGCAACCCGUCCCGAACCCGCCCUGUUGUCAUUCCUAAUGUUAAUAUAAGGAUAUAAUAAUGGGUAAAAUUAGUUGAAAGUGUUUUUUUUAUGACAUAAAAUAAUUUUUCAAAUUUUAAUUUCUAUUUACUUUGUCUUCCCUUGUCAUGUAUCUUUGUAAUUUUCCGAUUUGUUUAUCAAAACAAUAAAUGAUGUCAUGUUAUGAUUUCUCUUUUUGUCUUCCUUUUUAAUUGACGUGUUUAUUGGAAUAAUAUAUUAUGUUAGACAAAAUAACACAUACCUCCACUGCCCAAAUCCCCUCCGUGACAAUGAACCCCAUCUUUAAGCAUUAUUAUAAAAUUAAGCAUAAAGUUAUUACAAGUUUCUUCCAUUUCACAUGCCUUUCCCAUAGAUUGAGUGGUGGAGAUGAUCAUUCUUGAACGAUUUAUAAUUUUAAUGAAUUCUGUCUAUUCUCAUAUCUUUUAAGAGGGAAUUCAAAUCAACUUAUCUUAUUUUCUCAACGCUACUUAACUUCCACGGCUUCAAAUUUACAUGAUCAUAUCAUUAUCAAUAACUUCGGCAUAACUAUUCAAAUUUUAAUAAGAACUUCAAAUCAUUGUUACCUUUAUUGCCUUAAAAAUCUUUUUCUUUGUCAAUGAUCCCUGCACGAUUAUUAAAUAAUAGGAUUGUUAUUGUCAUAUUAACUAAUUUUGAUAAUAUAGUCAUCGUCACGGCUGAGUGCCGUUUUCUUGGGAGAUUUUUCAUAAAUUUAAAUCAAUACCAGUUAUAGGAAAUGCGUCACAAAUUAGGAAGAUAUCGAGCUGGAAGCAGAUGAUAUAUAAUUCAUUAUUUUCUUCCUUAUUGAAGCUUGACAAACCAAUCCAAAUGCAUUAACGUGAGAAGCAAGGUUUUAUGCUCAUUUUCAAUGAACCUUGUCAACAUGCACGUCAAAAACAAUGAUUUAUUAACUACGUACAUGUAGAACUGCAUGGGAAAAAAAAAAUACAAUUAAGGCAUUGGGAUAUGAAUAAAACGCUUAACUUAAAAUUCAAAAUUCUCAAAACUACGUUUUUCACACCAAAAUGUUUCAUCCAGCCAACCUAAGACCGAGUGAAUCCUCCCUCUAAAGCACAUUGCCCAAGACUACAGGCAACGUAGUAAUUACCUAAGCAAAUACGUCAGAAUCAUACCAAUUUUUACCAAAGUGGGUAUCGGGAAGGAGCUUUGCCUAAUUCAUCCUUCUAUAUAUAAGGACAAGGUUAUCUACUUCUUCUCAUCACUGCCUUCUGUUUGAAUAUUUUGUAGUUAGUUUUAUCAAUCCAGCUAGUGUUAUUAUCAGAAAAACAUGGCUCUAACUGGUAAGUUGGAGACUGAAACAGAGAUCAAAGCACCUGCUGAUAAGUUCUUUAAAAUCUUCAGGAGCCAAGCACACCACCUUCCUAAUAUCUGCUCCGAUAAAAUACACAAAAUCGAGGUACAUGAAGGUGACUGGGAGACUCAGGGCUCCGUCAAGCAUUGGAGUUUGACCGUUGGUAAGGCAUCUCAAACUAAGAACCACAAAACACUAGCGUUAUAUUCUGUUAAUUAAAAUAAGUUAUUAUGUUUUUGUUUCAUUUCAUUGUUGUUUUCUUCACCUUUCAAUUAUUCUAUUAGAAUAAAAGCAUGCCUCUUUGUACAAUUUUUUUCUUGCAAAGAAGUGAUCGAGUCUGGGCCGCUAGUGACUAUGAUGGUUCUUAGGAAUGUACAUGACAUCUAAUAAUAGCUUCAACAUAUUCCAAUUAUGUUUAACCUCACAUUUUGGUUUCAACUAGGAGAGAAUUCUGAGAGUAUUAAAGAGACUGUGGAUCAAAUAGAUGAAGAAAACAGGUCCAUCACAUUCAAGGUUUUGGAUGGGGAGGUGCUGAAAGACUACAAGAGCUACAAGUUCACCACACAAGCGAUACCAAAGGGGGAGGGCUGCUUGGUGAUAUGGACCAUCGAAUAUGAGAAGGCAAGUGAGGGUGGCCCAGAUCCCCAUAACUGCCUAGAGUUUUCAGUUAAUAUCACCAAAGAUAUCGAAAGUCACCUUCUCAAUGCGUAACACCAAGGCCAUAUCCACCCUUUGCUAGUAUCUUGCUCGUAAAUAAAGUUUGGAACUUGGAAGUCCAUCUAUCUCUAUCUUUCAAUAAACGCAAAUUCCAGGUGUGGACUUGGUGAUUAGUGCCGAGAAGAUAAACUAGGUUUGCCUUGGUUAUUUGUGCAAUAAUAUUAGUGCAUGAGUGGGAUUGAUUGUAUGCUAUCUUGUCCGGGAGUUGCUUUGUGUCUUUUGUAAUGGGAUUACUACAUGUAAUGUGAAGACUAUAUGAUGCAUGGGGAAAUAAAUUAAGCGAAAACUUCCAUGGGCUCCAUCAUGAGGAGCCUUUGAGUAAGUCCACAAGCCUACAUUCUUGCAUUCUAGUCACAUGUGUCAAAAUAAGUCUCUACAAAUUAAAGUCUUAUUGUCAAAAUCCCACUUUACACAUAAUCUAAAUAAUUUAGCUAAAAUCUAAUAAGUAUGUCUCUCUUUAUAUGUACUUACCAUCCCAACUUUUAAAUUUAGGGAUAUCUAUGUAAUUUAGAUUUUAAAAAGAAAAUUUUAGGGAUAUUUACAAAGAUAAAUGAAAUAUUUUUGGUUCCGAUAACCAUUAUUUUUAUCUCAUUUUGGUUUCUUUGCGUUAUAAAAAAAAUGGUUUGUAGAGAUAAACUAGAGAAAAAAAAAAAUUAUACAAUGGUUUGUAGAGAAAUUUGAUUCGAAAAGUUAGAAAAGAUGAUUUGUUUUUUGCAUUUGCUUCAUUCUAAAAUUCAAUCACUAUCUUUUAUCUCAUUUUGGUUUCCCCACAUUAUCAAAAAAUGAAGGAUAAAAAUAAACUGGGGAAAAAAUUAUACAAAGGUCUCCGAGAACUUUGAUUUGAAGAGUUAGAAAAGAAGAAUUUUUUUGCAUUUGUUUCAUUUUAAAAUUCAAGGUUUUUGGAUUUCUAUUAUAUAUUAAUUAUGAGGAUAGUAGAAUAAUAAUAAUAAUAAACAAAAACUAGUUAUUAGUGACCUUGAUCAAUAGAGUAUAAGUUGUUGACCUUUAUUAUCUUUGUUAGAAGUAGUUAACGAUGCAAUGUAACCUUAGCCAAUAAAGAUGUUUUGAUAUACAUUGAUUGAAAAAUGUCCUUUUAAAACUAGUUAUUAUUGACCUUGGUCAACACAGAGGAUAAGUUGUUGACCUUUAUUACCCUUGUUAGGAGUAGUGAACGGUGUAGUAUAACCUUAGUCAUUAAGGAUGUUAUUAGCCUUUUGCUAUAUCAUUGAUUGAAAGUUGUCCUAUCCACCAAUAAGGAGAAUGAAGGCUAGCCACCAAGUACUAGUUUUAGUAUUUUGGCACAAUAUUAUUACUAGUGAGUCAAAGUGAAAUAUUUGUUGAUAAAACUUUUUUAAUAUGAAUUGAGUAAGCAAAAUAUAUUAUUUAAUUCUAUCAUUAAAUUGGAAGUGUUUAAAUUUUCAAAAACAAUUAUUUUAAUUAUUGAAUCAAAUGAGCUUACAUGUUAAUAGACUUUUAUAAAGAUGUGGUAUCUUCCGAAAUUUUAUUAUAUAUAAUAAUUGAUCUUCCUUAUACUAACUUUUAUCAUUGAGCCAUCGAGUUCACUUUUCUCUGUUAUUCUCCAUUUCAAUUAUAAAUGAUAUAAAGAGGGAUGAGGUAAGAAAAAUAUUUCUAUUAGAGACAGCUUUGGAAUUGAUUUAUUUUAGGAUUAUUUACUAGACUGAAUUCAUUUAUAAUUUCUAAAUUUCUUUUUGAAGAAUUUGAGAAAAUUAAAUUAAUUAUUGAGAGAUUUUAAUUAGUUUUAAAUUUGUUACUUAAAGUCGUUCACAUGUUGGAUUCUAAUAUUUGAUACGUGAAACUAGCAUGAAGGGCUUGACCUCCGGGUUUGGGGCGUCGCAGCUGACUUUAGAUUACAGAAUUAUUAAUCAACCUACCAAUCUUCAAAGCAAUCUAGGAUGCAAUAUGGUUUUGUGAUUUAAGAUCAAGUGGACGCUUCAUUUAUUAUGUCUUCAAAAAAACAUUUUGGGCCUCAAUUCGAGAUUAUCAGAUAUGGAUUCUAACAGUUGCUUCCAAUCAAAUCAGUGUCACAGAAAUCGCUACCAUUGUGGUACCUGAAAAAAAAAAAAAGAGACUCCUUCCCUUAAUAUUGAAAUUUAUCUGAAGCUAUGCAGUAAAUAAAUGCCCCAUUUUGUGCGUCAUAAUGGGGGAUCACAUUCAGAAUCUUCUGCACAUGCAAAUUAAAAUCAAAAUCAAGCCAUUGGCCUAUCACAUUACCAUUUUUGGCCCUUUUGUUUUGUUGUUUUUUUCUUUUUUUGGCGUGUAUAUAAAAAGCAACCACAUUAUCCAACUUUUAUUGAAAACACCAUAUUAUCAGAUACAAAAACGCCACAUCAUUAUUAUUGAAAAUUAAAUUCCCAUAUAUAGAAAGCCACAUAAAAUUCAGUGCCAAUCACAAACAUUCGUUGAUAUUCACUAGGAUAGAGAUAGAGUGCCCAUAUAUGGACAGUGCACCAUACCCGCCGUGAAGUGAUUGGAAGAGUGUGGACUAUGUCAAGCUCCGGACUUAUUUGUAUAGGUAAGGCAACGCUAACCAUUAUUAUUCCCAUGCCACCCUCAAUCAAGCACAGUCAUACACUCGGCACAUGGCACUUCUUGUUUUUAAUUAUUAUCAUAGUGAACAAUGUUUUCAUAAUCGGAUCGAUCAUCGAACCGAAAAAGUUAUCGAUUUACAGUCCAUUAGUCGAACCGACGGUCGAACCAAUAACAUCAUAAAUAUGUAAUUUAUAUAUUAUUAAAAUUAAAAAUAAUUAUACAAAUUUUAAAAUAUAUAUGAAUAAAUUAAAAAUCAAUAAUAUUAUUUUGUAUCUUUAAUAUUAUCAAAUUAAAUCAUAUUAAUAUUUUAAAUUUUAUUGAAUGAAAUAUAUAUAAUAUUUAAAUAUGAAUAUAUUAAAAAUGAAAAUUUAAUUAAACUAAUUUUAUAAUUUUUAAAAAUAUUAUAUUAUUUUUAUUUAAUAUUAUAAAAAAAUUUAAAAUCCAAUAUAUAUUAUUUUGUUUGGCAUAUUAAAUAAUAAAAGAUGUAUAGCCGAGUGGUCCUAGGUUGGUUAUAGACCUUGAGGUCCAAGUUCAAAUCCUUUGGUGGAUUUGUUAAUUUUUUUUUUCAUUGAUUAGGUUAGUUAGCAAUCCCACACUAAGAGGAAUAAGGAUGCUUAUAAAAGCUAGCCUCAUUAUGGGCAAAGGCAUCACCUCAUCUGGUGGGCUUAAGACUCAGCCCAUAAAAUGGUUGGGUGCGGUGUGGGCUUUGUCACAUUAAGACAGGGCCCAUCAUGGGCUUUUGCUAAAUUUUUUUAUACAAGGGAGCCUUCCAUGCUUGCAAAAUGGUGGGAUAACUUGAACCGAUCGAUUCGCUCAAAACCGUCUGAUUUCGUUGGGUUAUCGAUUCAAUCAUCGAUUUAGGUGAUUUGUGACCGGUCCAAUGCUUAGACGGUUUAAUAAAGUAAAUCUAAUAAAAAAUGUGAUGGAUCGACGAUUGAACCAGUUGGAUCAGUCGGUCCCACCCGAUUUUUAAAACAUUAGAUAAUAACAAAUUAAAAGAAGGGUGUCUCCUCAUAUGAGUUUUUUUGAAGUUCUCUACUCUUGGAGUGACUGAAAGGAUAACUGCAGCCUGGUGAGAUGGACUUUGGAAUAUGAGAAGUCAAAUCAGAGGCUCCUUCCUCCAGAUGCUUACCUCAGCCUUGUAAGCAUGAGUAAAGAUAUGGAUGGUUUACCUUCUCAAGGCAUAAACCGCAUAACAGCAAGGCCUAUAUCCUUGACUUGGUCUGAAAGCAUCCUAGCUUGGGUCCUUCUGGGAAUGGGAUUGCCACACGUAUGACCUCUGUAUCAUCAGUUUUGGGGCAAAAUAGCCAUUUUAUGUAUAAAAAAAAAUAAGCUUUAGCCCUUUACAAAACUUAUGUUUAAACUAGCUCACAUAGAGUCAUGUCAUCAUUUUUCUUUUAAACUCAAUUAGACUUUAUUUUUUAACUGAAACUUCAAUUACCAAUUGAGAAUUCAUUUUUUAACUAAAACUUCAAUUUACAAUUGAGGUUUUAGUUAACUUUGUUUUAAAUUUAAAUAAAAAAUUAAAUUAUAAAUUAUUAUUGAAAUUUAAAAAAUAUAUUUUAAUAAUAAUAAUUUAUAUAUUUAAACUUAAAUAUCUAAUAUUACUUCAAUAAAGAUAAAUUGACAAAUAUAAUAAUAAAUAAAUAUUUUAUUUAUCAAUAAAUUAAUAAUUUUAAAAUAAUAAAGUUAUAUGAAAUCUAAAUAAGAUAUAAAAUUAUAUAAUUUGUUAAUUUAAGAUAUUUAAUUUUUUGUAUUUUUAAGAUAUUAAUUUAUUUGUAUUUUGACAAAUUUAUCUUUAUUAAAAUAAUAAUAUAUUCUUAAGUUUCAUAUAUAGAUUUUUUUAUUAUUUUAAAGCAUAUAUUUAUAGUUUACGUAAAAAAAUACUAUUAUUUGUACAUACAAUAUAUAUGCCUUGAAGAUACAUUUUGAAAUUAGUUAAUAAAAUUAAUUAGAAAAAAGUCUACUAUAAAAUUUAAUUUUUAAUAGUUUCAUCAAAGUCACAAAAAAUACUCAUUAAAUAUUUAUAUUAUGGAAAAAAAAUGCCCCUCCCUAAUAUUACAUGUGAUAUAACUUAAAUUAAUAAAUUGUAUAAUUUUAUAUUUUAUUUAUAUGUCAUAUAAUUUUAUUAUUUUAAGAUUAUUAAUUAAUUGAUAAAUAAAAUAUUUAUUUAUUAUAUUUAUCAAAUUAUCUUUAUUGAAGCAAUAUUAGAUCUUUAAGUUUAAAUAUAAAAUUUUUUAUUAUUAAAGUAUAAUUUUUUAAUUUCAAUAAUAAUUUAAAAUUUAAUAUUUUUAAUUAAAUUUUAAAGUAAAAAAAUAAAAUAACUGAAGUUUCAAUUGACAUAUCUUAUUUAGAUUUCAUAUAAUAUUAUUAUUUUAAGAUUAUUAAUUUAUUUAUAAAUAAAAUAUUUGUUUGUUAUUAUAUUUAUUAAUUUAUUUUUAUUGAAGUAAUAUUAGAUCUUUAAGUUUAAAUAUAUAAAUUAUUAUUAUUAAAAUAUAUAUUUUUUAUUUCAAUAAUAAUUUAUAAUUUAUUUUUUAAUUAAAUUUUAAAAUAAAAUAAAAAUUUUAACUAAAACCUCAAUUGUCAAUUGAGGCUUUAGUUAAAAAAUAAGUUUCGAUUGACAAAUGAUACUUCAAUUAAAAAAUGAAGUCUUAGUUGGUAAUUGAGACUUCAACUUAAAUUUUAAAAAAAAAAAAUUAUGACAUAACUCCUAUAUGUGAUAAUAAAGGAACUAGUUUAAACAUAAGUUUUAUAAAAGGGUUAAAACUUAUAUUUUUUUCUACAUAAAAAACUAUUUUGCCCUAAAACUCCCGUAUCGUCGACUAGCUACUGCUUUACUCCAUGUAACAUCUUGUCUACUUAAUUAUAUGAACUUCCUGAAUUAAUGCUGGAAUGACAAACCAAGUUUUAUUGAAAAUGGAAACCUUCUUAGAAUCAAACAUUUGCUCGAACAAAUUUCGCAAUAAAAAGAGGAGAGUUGUGAAAAGAAGCAUUUUUCCUGCAGCCAAUUACCUUUUCAUACAUUACUUUAAAACAAAUUAACAAAUAGUGAUCUCAUAUUUUACCUUUUCUGUUGCAGAUUACUUUUAAAAAUAUUCUCUCCACAGGCACUCCUACGGAAUCUUUCUCCAAAUCAAACUGUACAUUUUACUCAAAUUUUAAUAUCUAAUUAUAAAUAAUUAUGGGUGAGAUUGCAAUCCUUUGCUUAGCUCUUUGAAAAUCUAUGAUGAUACUCGGUAUUAAUAUUUUAUUUUAUUAAAGAUAAAAAUAUCAAAAUAAUUUUAGAACUUUUUAGUGGGGAUAAUACUUCCCCAUUAGGCUGCUUACAAGGCAUAAAUUAAUAUUUUUUUAAUUUUAAUAAAAGCAAUUUGGUACAGUUGACUUGAUUGAUAACUAUUUAAGAUAGGAUUUAGACUAAUUUAGAUUAAUUAGAUUGCAUUUACAGUUCCGUUACCUCGAAACAAAGUUGGUGCAACAUUAACCAUGAUUAUGGUGAUAUAUUUUAGUUUUAUAUUUUUUAAGGGGAUAAUUUUUUUUUUUAAUGGUUUGAUGUUAGCUUAUAAGAAAAACCUAAACCAUAAAAGCCGAAUCUUUCCAAUAUUGAUCCAAUUUCUAUCAUUAAAAAUAUAUGAAUAAAACUUUUGAUCCUUAAAUAAAAGUAUACAAACUAUCGUACAAAAUAAUGGAAUCAAAUAUACAAAAUAAGAUUAAGGAAAUGUUUGAUAAAACUUAAUAUUUAUUAUUUAAUAAUUUAAAUUAACUCUAAGUUAAAUUAUAUUUAAGUUGUUGACUUAAAACUUAUUAUUUAAUUUUUAUUUUAAGUAUUAAGGUUAUUUAAAAAAAUUAACUUACAAUUUAUAUUAAAUCAUCAAAUUAAAAUAUUUAUCUUAAUAAAUUAUAACUAAGACAAAUAAGGUUAAAUAACAAUGGAGGUUGUGAAGUCAUAAAAGAGAUCAUAAAUGUAAUUGAGAGAAAAAAAGACAAAAAUAUAAAAUGAAGAUACUGACUUAAAAAUAAAUAAAUUUUUUUAUUUAUUAAGUCUUUUAUUUUAAGUCAUACAAUAAAAUUAUUUUAUCAAACAUAUUUAAUUUAUUUAAUAAUAUAAUUAAAAUAUUAAGUCACUUAAAGUUAUUAAAUUGGUUUACCAAACACGUACUAACGUACAAAUAAAUAAGACUAAAAUAGAAAACAAUGAAACUUAAACACAUAUAUGACAUGGUCUAUUUAAUUGUAUUUUUUUAUAAAUGCCUCUUUAAUACUUCCCAAAUCAUAACAUUAAAUUUCUUAAAUUGAUAUAAAACAUUUUUUUUUUUCUANNNNNNNNNNNNNNNNNNNNNNNNNNNNNNNNNNNNNNNNNNNNNNNNNNNNNNNNNNNNNNNNNNNNNNNNNNNNNNNNNNNNNNNNNNNNNNNNNNNNACAUAUAUGACAUGGUCUAUUUAAUUGUAUUUUUUAUAAAUGCUCUUUAAUACUUCCAAAUCAUAACAUUAAAUUUCUUAAAAUUGAAUUAUAAACAUUUUUUUUUUCUAUGAUUGAAUCAUUUAGCACUCCAAGUUUUACUAUUGGACGAAAUGUUAAGGAUCUAAUAAAUGGGUAACAUUAAUUUGCUGAAAUAGUUUUUCUUAUUACUUAUAAUGGUUUUAAGAAUGUUGAAAAAAAAAUUCAUGGGAAAACAUUUAUCAAACUCAAAUUUUGAUUCCUAUUUACUUUAUCUUUCCUUGUCAUGUCUCUUUCUAAUUUUCCUUUUUUAGCGGUUUGUUUAUUAGAACAGUAUAUCAUGCCUGUGAUUCUCUUUCUAUCACUUCUUUUCAAUUGAUUUGUUUAAUGCAAUAAUAUUUGUUUAAUGCAAUAAUAUAUCAUGUUAGACAAAAUAACACCUACCUACUACCCAAAUCCCCAAUGUGACAAUGAACUCUAUCUUUAAGCAUUAUUAUAAAAUUAAACGUAAAGGAUAUUAUAAGUUUCUUCCAUUCCACGUGCCUUUCCCAUAUAUUGAAAGGUGGAGGUUAUCAUUUUUAAAAGAUCAAUAAUUGUAAUGAAUUUUCCAUUCCACGUGCCUUUCCCAUAGAUUGAAAGGUGGAGGUGAUCAUUUUUAAAAGAUCAAUAAUUUUAAUGAAUUUCAUAUAUUUGCAUAUUUUUUAAGAGGGAAUUCAAAUUAACUCAUCUUAUUUCUCAAUGUUACGUAACUCCUGCCUCAAAUUAAAAUCAUCAUAUCAUUAUGAACAACUUUGAUACAACUAUUCAAUUUUUAAUAUGAAUUCUUUCAUUCUCAAAUCAUUGUUCAAGUUAGCUUUAUUAACUUAAAAAAACUCAUUCUUUGUCACUACUCCCUCUAUGAUUAUUAAAUGAUAAAAUUGUCAUUGUCUUAAAAACUAAUUUUGAUAAUAUAUUCAUCAACAUAUUUACAAAUUUAAAUUAAUACAAGUUGUAAGAAAUGUAUCAUAAAGAAGAUACAAAACUAGAAGUAGAUGAUAAUUAAUUAUUUUUUUUCUUUAUUGAACUUUGACACCCCAUCCAAAUGCAUUAACGAGAAAAAUAGUGUUUUAUGCUUGUUUUCAAUUAAUCUUGUCAAUAUGUACAUGAAAAACAAUGAUUUAUGCUUAUAAAUCUUAUCAAUUCGCUUAUUUGUAUAUGUAAAAUGAAAUUAUUGAAACUACACGUAGAAUUGCAUGAGGAAAAAAAUACAACUACUGCAUUUAUAAAUGAAUAAAAGCUUGGCUUAAAAUUCAAAAUUCUCAAAACUAUGUUUUCCACACCAAAAUAUUUCAUCCAGCCAACCAAACACCGAUUGAAUCCUCCCUCUAAAGCAUAUUGCCCAAGAUUACAGGCAACGUAGUAAUUACCUAGGCAAGUACGUCAGAAUUAUAGCUUCUUUUUUUUUUUUGUUUUUUUUCAGUUCAUUGACUCGGCUCCACCCAACCACUAUCAGUAUCAGUUACUACCAGAGAGGGUACUGGGUACUGGUUACUGGGCAGGAGCUUUUCCAAAUUCACAACCCGUCUUCUUUAUAUAAGGGCAAGUUUAUGUAUUUCCUCUCGCCAUUGCCUUUUGUUCGAAUCAUUUGAAGUUGAUUUUAUUAAUCCAUCAGAAAAACAUGGCUCUAACUGGUAAAUUGGAGAUUGAAACAGAGAUCAAAGCACCUGCUGAUAAGUUCUUUAAAAUCUUCAGGAGCCAAGCACACCACCUUCCUAAUAUCUGCUCCGAUAAAAUACACAAAAUCGAGGUACAUGAAGGUGACUGGGAGACUCAGGGCUCUGUCAAGCAUUGGAGUUACACCAUUGGUAGGAUAUGCAACUCGAACUCAGAACCCCAAAACACUAGCUAGCAUUAUAUUCCGUUAAAAUGUUUUUUGAUUUUUUUUCCCCAUUUCAUUGUUGUUUUCUUCACAUUUUUUUAUUCUUUUAGAAUAAAUGCAUGGCUCUUUGUACAAUUUUUCUUUUUUUCUUGCAAAGAAGUGGUCAAGUCUGGGCCGCCAGUGACUAUGAUCGAUGGUUCUUAGUAAUGUAUAUGGCAUCUAAUAUUAGCUUCAACAUAUUCCAAUUACUAGGAGGGAAUUCUAAGAGCAUUAAGGAGAGUGUGGAAUCAAUAGAUGAAGAGAACAGGUCCAUUACGUUCAAGGUUUCGGAUGGAGAGGUGCUGAACGACUACAAGAGCUACAAGUUCACCACACAAGCAAUACCAAAGGGAGAGGGCUGCUUGGUGAAAUGGACCAUUGAAUAUGAGAAGGCAAGUGAGGAUGGGCCAGAUCCCCAUGACUACCUGGAGUUUGCAGUUACUGUCACCAAAGAUAUCGAAAGUCACCUUCUCAAUGCAUAACACCAAG
rnacentral:lncRNA from 1 species